rnacentral:rRNA from 1 species
ACCUGGUUGAUCCUGCCAGUAGUCAUAUGCUGUCUCAAAGAUUAAGCCAUGCAUGUCUAAGUACAGACUUAUACAUAGUGAAACCGCGAAUGGCUCAUUAAAUCAGUUAUGGUUCCUUAGAUCCUACAAUCCUACUUGGAUAACUGUGGCAAUUCUAGAGCUAAUACAUGGCAAAACAGCUCCGACCUCACGGGAAGAGCGCUUUUAUUAGAACAAAACUAAUGGCGGUCGCAAGGCCGUCUCACCUUGGUGAUUGUGAAUAACUUUGUGCUGAUCGCAUGAGCUUGCCUCGGCGACGUAUCUUUCAAAUGUCUGCCCUAUCAACUUUCGAUGGUAGUAGGUAUGCCUACCAUGGUUGUAACGGGUAACGGGGAAUCAGGGUUCGAUUCCGGAGAGGGAGCAUGAGAAACGGCUACCACCUCCAAGGAAGGCAGCAGGCGCGCAAAUUACCCACUCCUGGCACCGGGG